rnacentral:rRNA from 1 species
GACGAACCGUGCGAACGUUGUUCGGAAUCACUGGGCUUAAAGGGCGCGUAGGCGGGCUCGAAAGUCAGGGGUGAAAUCCCACGGCCCAACCGUGGAAGUGCCUCUGAUACUGCGGGCCUCGAGGGAGGUAGGGGCGUGCGGAACUUCCGGUGGAGCGGUGAAAUGCGUAGAUAUCCGGAGGAACACCGAAGGCGAAGGCAGUGUCCUGGCGAGUGACUGACGCUGAGGUGCGAAAGCCAGGGGAGCGAACGGG